AUCAUUUCCCUUCCACCUUCCUCCUCGCCGCUUCCUCUCCCUCCACCGCGCAGCUCCAGCCGCCUUGCCGCCGCCGCAUCCCCUUCCAAGUUCAGGCUGUGGGUGGAACCUGUUGCUUUAGCUCACGUUUCCCUUCCCCUCCGGGCUGCACGCUGAGGAUGACCUCAGCGAGGUGUGUGUAAGGGGAAUGGAGGGUUUGGCUUCCUUGAGACAGAGGAUCUUGCUCGCCUCAAAGAGGAGGGCAGUUUGCCCCCUUCCUCCUGACUCCAAGACAAAAGAGAGAAGACUGAAGAGUGGUAAAGCUUGUGGGAUCCAGGGCCUCUCAGAGUUCACCUGAGCUUUCCCAAGUCUGGUUUGUUCUCUCUACCCUGCUGCUACUACUGCAAGUGACUUUCACAAGAUGCUUCUGAGCAUAGCAUUGCUCUGCUGUGACCACUGCAGAUGUCAAGAGAAUUUCUGCCUUUUGGAACUUGGACAAUAUUGGCCACCUACCCAGAGAGAGGAGAAGGAUAAUCCAGACAUAAAGGUAGCUCCCACACAUCCUUUGGAUCUCUGAUAAAGAGUCAUAUACUUAAAGAGCCAUCCUCACAUUCCUGCCCAGACUGUGAGCUGCAUGAGAGAGGCCAUGUCUCAUUUUGUUCCAUUACAUCUCCAGCACUUAAGAGUGCUGGACACAUAACGAGUGUCUGACACAUAACGAGUGCUGAAUAAAUGUUUGUUAACUGAUAAAAUG
rnacentral:lncRNA from 1 species